CCAACGAAUAUGAGAACACACAUCUGAAAACAAAAAGCAUACAAAAACAACUUGUAUCAGCAUACAAAAAAUUAAACAAGCUAAUCCACUACAUUAUCAUAAGAAAUGCCAGAAACAGAACGAUUUCAACUAAAGCAGAACAAGAGAUUAAGAAGAAAAAAGUGGAAUCCAGUAACAGUUUUGAUAGCGACGUGAUUAUUAGUAAACAAACAACCUUAAAAGCAAACUUUCUCAGAGAUUAUCUAAAAGCAGAUUUGAAUAGAAAGUCUCCAAAUUUUUCUCAGUACCCAAAAACAUAUGAAUUUAAAGGACCACAUAUAAAUCAAAGAGACAGAGAAUUCAAAUACUCACAGCCCAUAGAGGAAGAAUCGGGG